CCUACGGGAGGCUGCAGUGGGGAAUAUUGGACAAUGGGGGCAACCCUGAUCCAGCCAUGCCGCGUGUGUGAAGAAGGCCCUCGGGUUGUAAAGCACUUUCAGUGAGGAAGAACGCCUGGUGGUUAAUACCCAUCAGGAAAGACAUCACUCACAGAAGAAGCACCGGCUAACUCCGUGCCAGCAGCCGCGGUAAUACGGAGGGUGCGAGCGUUAAUCGGAAUUACUGGGCGUAAAGCGCGCGUAGGUGGCUUGAUAAGCCGGUUGUGAAAGCCCCGGGCUCAACCUGGGAACGGCAUCCGGAACUGUCAAGCUAGAGUUCAGGAGAGGAAGGUAGAAUUCCCGGUGUAGCGGUGAAAUGCGUAGAGAUCGGGAGGAAUACCAGUGGCGAAGGCGGCCUUCUGGACUGACACUGACACUGAGGUGCGAAAGCGUGGGUAGCAAACAGGAUUAGAUACCCUAGUAGUC
rnacentral:rRNA from 1 species